rnacentral:rRNA from 1 species
AGUGAACGCUGGCGGUAGGCCUAACACAUGCAAGUCGAACGGCAGCACAGUAAGAGCUUGCUCUUACGGGUGGCGAGUGGCGGACGGGUGAGGAAUACAUCGGAAUCUACUUUUUCGUGGGGGAUAACGUAGGGAAACUUACGCUAAUACCGCAUACGACCUACGGGUGAAAGCAGGGGAUCUUCGGACCUUGCGCGAUUGAAUGAGCCGAUGUCGGAUUAGCUAGUUGGCGGGGUAAAGGCCCACCAAGGCGACGAUCCGUAGCUGGUCUGAGAGGAUGAUCAGCCACACUGGAACGGAGAACCGGUCCAGACUCCUACGGGAGGCAGCAGGGGGGAAUAUUGGACAAUGGGCGCAGGCCUGAUCCAGCCAUACCGCGUGGGUGAAGAAGGCCUUCGGGUUGUAAAGCCCUUUUGUUGGGAAAGAAAAGCAGCAGGUUAAUACCCCGCUGUUCUGACGGUACCCAAAGAAUAAGCACCGGCUAACUUCGUG